rnacentral:rRNA from 1 species
ACGUAGGGUGCGAGCGUUAAUCGGAAUUACUGGGCGUAAAGCGUGCGCAGGCGGUUUUUUAAGACAGGCGUGAAAUCCCCGGGCUUAACCUGGGAACUGCGCUUGUGACUGGAAGGCUAGAGUACGGCAGAGGGGGGUGGAAUCCCACGUGUAGCAGUGAAAUGCGUAGAGAUGUGGAGGAACACCGAUGGCGAAGGCAAUCCCCUGGGCCUGCACUGACGCUCAUGCACGAAAGCGUGGGGAGCAAACAGGA